AAUAGAUACCCGGGUAGUCCACGCCGUAAACGAUGAGUGCUAAGUGUUGGGGGGUUUCCGGCCCCUCAGUGCUGCAGCUAACGCAUUAAGCACUCCGCCUGGGGAGUACGGCCGCAAGGCUGAAACUCAAAGGAAUUGACGGGGGCCCGCACAAGCGGUGGAGCAUGUGGUUUAAUUCGAAGCAACGCGAAGAACCUUACCAGGUCUUGACAUCCCGCUGCCCGGUAUAGAGAUAUAUCUUUCCCUUCGGGGACAGCGGUGACAGGUGGUGCAUGGUUGUCGUCAGCUCGUGUCGUGAGAUGUUGGGUUAAGUCCCGCAACGAGCGCAACCCUUGAUCUUAGUUGCCAGCAUUUAGUUGGGCACUCUAAGGUGACUGCCGGUGACAAACCGGAGGAAGGUGGGGAUGACGUCAAAUCAUCAUGCCCCUUAUGACCUGGGCUACACACGUGCUACAAUGGAUGGUACAAGGGCUGCAAGACCGCGAGGUUUAGCCAAUCCCAUAAAACCAUUCUCAGUUCGGAUUGCAGGCUGA
rnacentral:rRNA from 1 species